UCCAGGCACUGACACAGCUCCCCUGCAGGACAAAAUCAUCCAAGGGCGAGAAUCAUUGACUUACAUGUGACAACCACCUCAGUUCUCAUAGGCAGACUCUGGGUUGCACCAAGUCAAGGCUACCUGCCGAAUAUGCCACAUCCUUUUGCGCGUUUGCUGGUCAGAGCAAUUGGCCAUAGAAUGAGCUCCUGUCGUUAUCUGCUCUCAUGAAGGAGAAAUCUCUUCGCCUGAAAUCCUGCAAUACGCAAAGUACAUCUUCGCUGUGAAAACCUUACUUACACAACAAAGCAAUGUUAUAUUCGGGUUCUUAGAGUGCAACUACCAGACUACAGCUUAUAAUUUUGAAGAAAGGAGAGAAGAUGUGAGAAGUGACUAGUCGGCGAUAUUUAUGGUGUUGGAGAAAGAAAUUGGUUUUCUGGAACACAGCCUAUGAUAGCAGAAGAACGCCUGGCAAGCCGCAGGUUAUGUUUGGCCAGAGAGUCACUGUCCCUAUCAAGUCACAUUAAGACUGCAUUUGCCAGAAAAAGAGAAAAACCCAAGGAAAACUGCGAAACUGGUGGGACCCCGGGGGCAGCGUGACAAUGGAACUGAGCGUGGCUUGUCAGGCAAU